UUGAAACACUGUUUCUUGUACGAUCACUGAAAUUAAGCAAUGUCAAGCCUGUUCAGUACCUAGAUGGGUGACCAUUUGGGAAUACCAGGUGCUGUAAG